UACGUAGGGUGCAAGCGUUAAUCGGAAUUACUGGGCGUAAAGCGUGCGCAGGCGGCUUUGCAAGACAGAUGUGAAAUCCCCCGGCUCAACCGGGGAACGGGCACCGAUACGAGCGGCCUGGAGGGGGGUAGGGGGGCCUGGAACUUCCGGUGGAGCGGUGAAAUGCGUUGAGAUCGGAAGGAACGCCCGUGGCGAAAGCGAGGCCCUGGACCCUUACUGACGCUGAGACGCGAAAGCCAGGGGAGCGAACGGG
rnacentral:rRNA from 1 species